GCAGUAGGGAAUCUUCCGCAAUGGGCGAAAGCCUGACGGUGCAACGCCGCGUGAACGAUGAAGGUUUUCGGAUUGUAAAGUUUUGUUAUGAGGGAAGAACAAGUGCCGUUCGAAUAGGGCGGCACCUUGACGGUACCUCACGAGAAAGCCCCGGCUAACUACGUGCCAGCAGCCGCGGUAAUACGUAGGGGGCAAGCGUUGUCCGGAAUUAUUGGGCGUAAAGCGCGCGCAGGCGGUCUCUUAAGUCUGAUGUGAAAGCCCACGGCUCAACCGUGGAGGGUCAUUGGAAACUGGGAGACUUGGGUGUAGGAGAGGAAAGUGGAAUUCCACGUGUAGCGGUGAAAUGCGUAGAUAUGUGGAGGAACACCAGUGGCGAAGGCGACUUUCUGGCCUACAACUGACGCUGAGGCGCGAAAGCGUGGGGAGCAAACAGGAUUAGAUACCCUGGUAGUCCACGCUGUAAACGAUGAGUGCUAGGUGUUAGGGGUUUCGAUGCCCUUAGUGCCGAAGUUAACACAUUAAGCACUCCGCCUGGGGAGUACGGCCGCAAGGCUGAAACUCAAAGGAAUUGACGG
rnacentral:rRNA from 1 species